GGGAAAGAGGGGGAGAGGAAGAAGAUUCGAUUUUUAAGCAUAUAUAACUAGACCAUAUCUCUCUGUCAGUUAGUUUCCUCAUAUUUUCAGAUACAUAUUUUGAUUUGAUUGUCCCGGAAUUUGGGGGAUUGUUGAUUCUGGGAUGGGGUUUGCCAAAGCUGCAAUGGGAAUAAAAGUAUUUCUGGUGGGUGAGUUGAUGGUAUUUCGUUUGUUUACAUUAGUUUAUUAGUUGAAUAUAAAUGUAUAAUCUUAGUUCUGGAAACUAGGUGGUUUUUGGUCAUGAUUGGAAAUUCCUUAAACCUUAUUAUCUGAUUAAUGAUUUGAUUUGUGGUCUUUUGACACUAGAACUUGCUCAUGCCUUGUUGGGUAUUUGAGUGUUGAAUCACUCUGGUUUUGAACAUUGUCAAAGUGUAUGAAAUUUUUGUUUACUGGUGUAGUAGGUUGAAAGUGAGAAAAUAAAUGAACAAGAAUGACUAUUUUCUUCUA